rnacentral:rRNA from 1 species
UACGGAGGGGGCUAGCGUUGUUCGGAAUUACUGGGCGUAAAGCGCGCGUAGGCGGACCUGCAAGUCGGGGGUGAAAGCCCGAGGCUCAACUGGGGAGGGUCACGCGAUACUGAUCGACUCGAAGGCAGGAGAGGGUAGUGGAAUUCCCGGUGUAGUGGUGAAAUGCGUAGAUAUCGGGAGGAACACCAGUGGCGAAGGCGACUACCUGGCCUGUUCUUGACGCUGAGGCGCGAAAGCUAGGGGAGCAAACGGG